UACGUAGGGGGCAAGCGUUGUCCGGAUUUAUUGGGCGUAAAGCGCGUGUAGGCGGCCACGCAGGUCCGCUGUGAAAACUCGAGGCUCAACCUCGAGCUGUCGGUGGAAACCGCGUGGCUAGAGUCCGGAAGAGGGGACUGGAAUUCCCGGUGUAGCGGUGGAAUGCGCAGAUAUCGGGAGGAACACCCGUGGCGAAGGCGGGUCCCUGGGACGAUACUGACGCUGAGACGCGAAAGCGUGGGGAGCGAACAGG
rnacentral:rRNA from 1 species